rnacentral:rRNA from 1 species
CAGUCGCCGCGGGAAUACGGAGGGUGCAAGCGUUAAUCGGAAUUACUGGGCGUAAAGCGCACGCAGGCGGUUUGUUGAGUCAGAUGUGAAAUCCCCGAGCUUAACUUGGGAACUGCAUUUGAAACUGGCAAGCUAGAGUCUUGUAGAGGGGGGUAGAAUUCCAGGUGUAGCGGUGAAAUGCGUAGAGAUCUGGAGGAAUACCGGUGGCGAAGGCGGCCCCCUGGACAAAGACUGACGCUCAGGUGCGAAAGCGUGGGGAGCAAACAGGAUUAGAUACCCGGGUAGUCCCUGUCUCUUAUAC